GUAUUCCCACUGGAAGAUCUGAAACAGCCAACCGCACAGGACUAAGACGUCUGUUGGAUGCUAGCGUGCUCCUUUCUGCAGCGUGCCCAGCGACCUUCCACAACUGCCCAAGCARGUAAAGUCCAGGCUGUACAUGCCCGGCAGAUUCAGCAGCUGAGCAGCUGUCUUCUAGCRGGACAGUCCUGGGAUAUUCAUGCCAUGCCAGCAGGAACAUUUAUUCCUCUUAUCGGAACUGAGCCCAAUAACUUAUUGCUGGGCUGAGUUCAGAUUCGCUGCAGACUCUUCACAGAUUCUGAAAUUAGCUCCUGAGGUUUGAGCCUCCAGAAGACUUCCAAGAGUGGGAAACUAAUGCUACAAAGGAUCGUGGCUCACUGAGCUGAGGUACUAAACCGGGUCUCUGGAGAUCAAUGCUCAGUUCUCAGCUCUCCCACAGACUCCUCUCCGUGAUCAAAGGCCAAACCUCCUCAGGAAAAAUACUUUUUUCUACCCRUUGUCUUUUUUCAUUUCUUUAGCGACAAGCCUUUAGGAAUAGAUACUACUUUUUAUAACGUGGUUUUACAGCAUCAAAUGUGUAAAGAUUUAUAGGUACUAAUGGAAAGUAAAUAAUAACAUAUCCAGCCAUCAUGAAUAGGUSUCUGUGGUAGUGGACUCAGUGCCACAUGGGACAUCACUGAUCAUCCUGCAUGACACUGCUUAUGUUGACAUAGUAUCAUACUUCUGGUACAUUUUUUGGAACUGAAUUUCUUAAAUUACAUCUUUUCAGUGGAUCUCUUUAUCCAUGAAAAAAGUGGCGUGCUCCAGUGCUUUUUACAGUAAUAACGGCCUGGACUCUUGUGACUGCAUACACCUCCUCAAGAUGAAAUGCUUUUCAGAACUCAGCAAUGAAACAACUUUGAUUCAGAAACACACAAAAGASACCCACACACCUUCAACUGGCAUCGUGUCCCAGCUUCUGAAACACAGCCACCACUAUGAAACGGGAACUAGCCCCUAACUACUCAACUGUCACAGCUCUUCAGGCAAACGUAAAACAUUGGAAACCCCAGGAUUUCAUGAGAGGUGGAAUGAGAAGCAUUAUUUAAGGAUUCAUUGUGUUCUCCUUUAAAGGUUAGUUCAAAUGCUACUUCUUUAUCUGAAGGAGAAACUAUUCUGCACACUCCUUUAGAAAGUCUGAAAGGAGAAAGGCAGAAGCCUACGCUUACUUUUGUUUUUAGUUAAAGUUCAGUCUGUUCUAUUUUAAUCCAUGCAACUAUGCACUUGGCAAAGGCUUCCUCCUAAACCAUCAGUCAGAACUCUAGGCGAAGGCUUUACAGUCCUGUGAAGAGCCAAAAUUAUCCUUGCCUAGGCACCAGCACAGGGACAGAAGAGAGGCAGCGUGUGACUCCCCUGUUUAAGGUCACUGGAGACUCAGGUGACUUCUGUCACAAAACACAUUAACUGUUCAAACAGCUCCCUGCAGGAAACAGUCCAGGUGGGCUUUUUCCCAGAGCGCAGAAAAGCCAGGAUGCAACUUUGCUUCAAACUCACCCCUGUGUAAGUGCUGCCUUGAAACACAGCCUUGGAGCCCUGGCUCACACCAAGAACACACAAGGACAUUUUUGGGGGCAGGACGAUGCCACUGCCCUCUAUCCCCCAUCUACAACRGGAUCUGAAGAGCUUUCAGCAGGAGUUACAACAGGUUUGGAAUAAGUCCUGAUUUGAAUAAAAAAAUUUUCAAGGUGGAAAAUGUCA
rnacentral:lncRNA from 1 species